rnacentral:rRNA from 1 species
CUGCGAAUGGCUCAUUAAAUCAGUUAUCGUUUAUUUGAUAGUACCUUACUACAUGGAUAACCGUGGUAAUUCUAGAGCUAAUACAUGCUAAAAACCCCGACUUCGGGAGGGGUGUAUUUAUUAGAUAAAAAACCAAUGCCCUUCGGGGCUCCUUGGUGAAUCAUAAUAACUUAACGAAUCGCAUGGCCUUGCGCCGGCGAUGGUUCAUUCAAAUUUCUGCCCUAUCAACUUUCGAUGGUAGGAUAGUGGCCUACCAUGGUAUCAACGGGUAACGGGGAAUUAGGGUUCUAUUCCGGAGAGGGAGCCUGAGAAACGGCUACCACAUCCAAGGAAGGCAGCAGGCGCGCAAAUUACCCAAUCCCGACACGGGGAGGUAGUGACAAUAAAUACUGAUACAGGGCUCUUUUGGGUCUUGUAAUUGGAAUGAGUACAAUUUAAAUCCCUUAACGAGGAACAAUUGGAGGGGCAAGUCUGGUGCCAGCAGCCGCGGUAAUUUCCAGCUCCAAUAGCGUAUAUUAAAGUUGUUGCAGUUAAAAAGCUCGUAGUUGAACCUUGGGCCUGGCUGGCCGGUCCGCCUCACCGCGUGUACUGGUCCGGCCGGGCCUUUCCUUCUGGGGAGCCGCAUGGCCUUCACUGGCCGUGUCGGGGAACCAGGACUUUUACUUUGAAAAAAUUAGAGUGUUCAAAGCAGGCCUUUGCUCGAAUACAUUAGCAUGGAAUAAUAGAAUAGGACGUGCGAUCCUAUUUUGUUGGUUUCUAGGACCGCCGUAAUGAUUAAUAGGGAUAGUCGGGGGCAUCAGUAUUCAAUUGUCAGAGGUGAAAUUCUUGGAUUUAUUGAAGACUAACUACUGCGAAAGCAUUUGCCAAGGAUGUUUUCAUUAAUCAGUUGAACGAAAGUUAGGGGAUC